UAUGUGACGGCGAAGGACUACGGUACAGA
rnacentral:sRNA from 1 species